rnacentral:lncRNA from 1 species
UGGACACGUGGUAACCAACCAGGCAGGAGGCAGGAAGGGUUGGGUGACAGGACCAGGCCCCAUGGGGGCCCUUGGUGCACAUGGGGCUGCAGUGCAGAGGCUGCCGGCUCAGGCAGGACUGGUGGGAAGUGCAGGAAGGUGGGGCCCGGGUUCCUGUUCCUGGAUGGAGAUGCAGGCAUCUGGAGCCGCAGGAUGAGCCUUUGGCUUCAGACGGUGACCCCGGGUCAGACGGGCAGAGGGACAGCCCCAGGUGGGCCUCAUAGGGAGCCCCAUCACAAUCCUUGGCCUGCACCUGGAGAGCUUGUCAAGUUUUAGGGCCGGGGGAGCUCACCUGGGACAGGUGGGGGUGUCACCAUCCCCACUCUGCAAAGGAAGCAGGCGCAGGACAGGAGGUGCCUCUCACCAGCUGUACAGCUGCUCUCGGCAGAAGCAGACAGGCUGGCCCUGGAGUCUGCCCUUCGGAGGGGGGCCGAGAACUGAACCCCCUCUGUCUGGUGCCUGGGUCUCCCCUUGUGGGCUCCUUAC